rnacentral:misc_RNA from 1 species
GAUGAAGAACGUAGCAAAAUGCGAUAAGUAAUGUGAAUUGCAGAAUUCAGUGAAUCAUCGAAUCUUUGAACGCACAUUGCGCCCGCCAGUAUUCUGGCGGGCAUGCCUGUUCGAGCGUCAUUUCAACCCUCAAGCACAGCUUGGUGUUGGGACUCGCGUUAAUUCGCGUUCCCCAAAUUGAUUGGCGGUCACGUCGAGCUUCCAUAGCGUAGUAGUAAAACCCUCGUUACUGGUAAUCGUCACGGCCACGCCGUUAAACCCCAACUUCUGAAUGUUGACCUCGGAUCAGGUAGGAAUACCCGCUGAACUUAAGCAUAUCAAUAAGCGGAGGA